GAUGAACGCUGGCGGCGUGCCUAAUACAUGCCAGUCGAGCGAACAGACGAGGAGCUUGCUCCUCUGACGUUAGCGGCGGACGGGUGAGUAACACGUGGAUAACCUACCUAUAAGACUGGGAUAACUUCGGGAAACCGGAGCUAAUACCGGAUAAUAUAUUGAACCGCAUGGUUCAAUAGUGAAAGACGGUUUUGCUGUCACUUAUAGUUGGAUCCGCGCCGCAUUAGCUAGUUGGUAAGGUAACGGCUUACCAAGGCAACGAUGCGUAGCCGACCUGAGAGGGUGAUCGGCCACACUGGAACUGAGACACGGUCCAGACUCCUACGGGAGGCAGCAGUAGGGAAUCUUCCGCAAUGGGCGAAAGCCUGACGGAGCAACGCCGCGUGAGUGAUGAAGGUCUUCGGAUCGUAAAACUCUGUUAUUAGGGAAGAACAAAUGUGUAAGUAACUAUGCACGUCUUGACGGUACCUAAUCAGAAAGCCACGGCUAACUACGUG
rnacentral:rRNA from 1 species